GGUACGUGAAAUGCGAUGUGUGGAACUAAGCAUGCGACAAGUAGGGCGGGACACGUGACAUCCUGUCUGAAUAUGGGGGGACCAUCCUCCAAGGCUAAAUACUCGUAAUCGACCGAUAGUGAACCAGUACCGUGAGGGAAAGGCGAAAAGAACCCCGGAAGGGGAGUGAAAUAGAUCCUGAAACCGUGUGCAUACAAACAGUAGGAGCGGACUUGUUCCGUGACUGCGUACCUUUUGUAUAAUGGGUCAGCGACUUACAUUCAGUGGCAAGGUUAACCAUAUAGGGAAGCCGUAGAGAAAUCGAGUCCGAAUAGGGCGAUCAGUCGCUGGGUGUAGACCCGAAACCAAGUGAUCUACUCAUGGCCAGGAUGAAGGUGCGGUAACACGCCCUGGAGGUCCGAACCCACUAAUGUUGAAAAAUUAGGGGAUGAGCUGUGGGUAGGGGUGAAAGGCUAAACAAACUUGGAAAUAGCUGGUUCUCUC
rnacentral:rRNA from 1 species